ensembl:lncRNA
AUGUUUCAAUCAUGCAAAUGCUUUUUUCUUUUUUUUUUUCCCACAGAUUUCCAUCUGUUGCUGAUCUUGCAUCUUUCCACGCUUGGCAGUGAAGAGCUGCAGACACCUGCAGACACAAAUCAGUUUAAGAGAUCUGCAGAUUUGGGCACAUUCUGCUACAGAAUAAACAGUCGACCGUUUGCCGCUCCGCUGGAUGCACAGGCAGCCCGUCCAGUGUGCAAGAUGCCCAAAUCUAAACACCCUCAUACUGAAAGAGAACCUGCUUUAAUCAGGGUCAGUAUUCCUCGCUCAACUCUGCAGCCAGCGUACUAAUACAAAGGCCAUCGCCGCUGCAGUUUUGAUCCCUCUGACAACCUGGGUUUGUCCUCAGUGAGUUUCAGAUAGUCAAAUCAGCUUUAACACUGAUUUCCCGAGUGAAAUAUACCGAGCAGACCAAUUAUUUUGGUGAUAUUUGACUUUUAAGAUUACCGCAUUGACUAAUAAUGUGUGUGGCAGCUUUGUUAAUGGCUAGCUCACAGUUUUAGUACUUUGAAUAUAUAGUAGUAUUUAGUUUUCAUGAUAAUUGUUAUUCUCAAAACCUUAAACAUGCAAAUAUGAAUUUUGCAGCACUGUUUGUCCAGAUGGUCCAAUCCCAUCCUGAAGUCUGACUUUGACCAUGAACUGGUGAGACAUUAUAUGGGAACACAGUCCAAGUUGCCCCUUCUACAUAUUUAUACUUGGCAGUUUGUCAGUUAUUAUUGCCAUUUCAAUAUCACUUCUUAUGAAAUCUGUAGAUUUAAUAAUAUGUAUUUUAUUACUGCUAAUGUCUGUUUUUUAAUGAACCUGCUUUAAAGGCUAAAGUGGUUUUAAGUCAGGUAUCAGGGUAGUUUUCAAAUCAGAUAAAAGAUAAUCUGAAAAUGUAGUUUCCCAGGAACCCUGAAACAAACAAAUAAACAAACAAAAAUCUAAUCA